UCUUAAUAUUUAACAUUGCUGUUAAAGAGAAUCAAAGGUCUCAAGUUGUUUUUAAUACAUAGAAAAUUACAUAUAUUGUUAAAUAUAUUACAAGAGGCCCCAUUGCCCUGCAUCACUCACCUGGAAUUCACUUUAAGAUUUUCUGCCUUUAAAUUAAUAAUAAAAAAAACAAAGGCCUUUCAGUUAAUCAGAAGUCCUUUCUAAUUUUGUUUUACAAAUUUGACCCCUGUUACAUUGAAUAUGUGUUAAGGUUAUUGGGUUUGACCCCUGUUACAUUGAAUAUGUGUUAAGGUUAUUGGGUUAACUUAUUUUUGAAAAGUUUAUGGGGCUCAAUCACAGGAAUCCAUCAGCAAAAUAUCAUGAUUCUGGGCCUUUUCAUUUUUGAGAAGUUUAAUUUAUAGGAGAAAAUUGACGACAGAUUGACAGACGAUGGACACAAUUUCGGGCCAGGUGAGCUGAUAACAACAUACACAUAUAACUUUUAUAUGAAAGUUAAUUACUGCUGUACAUGAUAUUCUUUCGUUUGUUCCCUCCUCACAUCAUCAGGUGAUAUGUGUGUAUAUACAUGUAUGCGUAUAUAGCAUAACAUUAAAAAAAAAAAAAAAUGAAGACAAUUUCUUAACUUUAUCCUGGCAAGGCUUAAACUCUAAUCUACAGCACCACAUUGUGUAGCCAGGAAAUAUACUAUAAAGCUAAUGCACCGUUAAUACAUCUAUAUAUGUUUGUUUACAAUAUUUAAAAUCAACAUUGUGAUAUGACGCUAAACACAACAAA